rnacentral:tRNA from 1 species
CAUUAAGAAGCUAUGAACCAGCACUGGCCUUUUAAGCCAGAGACAGAGGGCAAGUACCCCUCCUUAAUGG